GAGAGAAAGAGAGAGAGAACAAGGAGAGGAAAAGCAGCGAGGUCAACCAGACCAGCUUCCGGUUUGAUACCCUACACUGGGUGUAACUGCUAUAGGACUCU
rnacentral:lncRNA from 1 species